AUUGAACGCUGGCGGCAUGCUUUACACAUGCAAGUCGAACGGUAACAGGCCUUCGGGUGCUGACGAGUGGCGAACGGGUGCGUAAUGCAUCGGAACGUGCCCAGAGGUGGGGGAUAACGCAGCGAAAGCUGUGCUAAUACCGCAUGUGAUCUGAGGAUGAAAGCGGGGGACCAGGCAGCAAUGUUUGGCCUCGCGCCUUUGGAGCGGCCGAUGUCAGAUUAGGUAGUUGGUGGGGUAAAGGCCUACCAAGCCGACGAUCUGUAGCUGGUCUGAGAGGACGACCAGCCACACUGGGACUGAGACACGGCCCAGACUCCUACGGGAGGCAGCAGUGGGGAAUUUUGGACAAUGGGCGCAAGCCUGAUCCAGCAAUGCCGCGUGCGGGAAGAAGGCCUUCGGGUUGUAAAACGCUUUUGUACGGAACGAAAAGGCUCUGGCUAAUACCUGGGGCUGAUGACGGUACCGUAAGAAUAAGCACCGGCUAACUACGUG
rnacentral:rRNA from 1 species